GGUAUAAGAGACAGCAGUAGCCAGGUAAUACGUAGGUGGCAAGCGUUGUCCGGAAUUAUUGGGCGUAAAGGGCUCGCAGGCGGUUUCUUAAGUCUGAUGUGAAAGCCCCCGGCUCAACCGGGGAGGGUCAUUGGGAACUGGGAAACUUGAGUGCAGAAGAGGAGAGUGGAAUUCCACGUGUAGCGGUGAAAUGCGUAGAGAUGUGGAGGAACACCAGUGGCGAAGGCGACUCUCUGGUCUGUAACUGACGCUGAGGAGCGAAAGCGUGGGGAGCGAACAGGAUUAGAUACCCCCGUAGUCCCUGUCUCUUAUACC
rnacentral:rRNA from 1 species